AUACGGAGGAUGCGAGCGUUAUCCGGAAUUAUUGGGCGUAAAGAGUGAGCAGGCGGUUAAUUCAGUCUGAGGUUAAAGCGUGGGGCUCAACCCCAAAAAGACUUGGAAACUGAUUGACUAGAGUACGGGAGAAGUGAAGGGAACGCCAUGUGUAGCGGGGAAAUGCGUAGAUAUAUGGAAGAACACCAGUGGCGAAGGCGCUUCACUAGCCCGAAACUGACGCUCAGUCACGAAAGCGUGGGUAGCAAAUAGGAUUAGAUACCCUAGUAGUCCACGCUGUAAACGAUGAAUACUUGUUUUCGGCGAUAUAAUGUCGGAGGCAAAGCGAAAGCGAUAAGUAUUCCACCUGGGGAGUACGCCGGCAACGGUGAAACUCAAAUGAAUUGGCGGGG
rnacentral:rRNA from 1 species